AGCCACAGCCAUAUCACCCUGCAGCCCAACACCGUUUUUACUGAAGCUAAGCAGGGUUGAGCCUGGUCAGUACCUGAAUGGGAAACCACAUGGAAAAUUUAGGUUGCUGUUGGAA
ensembl:rRNA 5S_rRNA 5S ribosomal RNA